AGGUGGUCUGAUAUGGACCGUAAUCCCGACAGCAGGUGCUGUGCUUCUGCUUCUGCUGCUGUUUCUGCUGCUGUUUUUCUGCUGCUGCAGGACAAUCCGAAGGUAAGAUGCUCCGCACUCAUGUGUUCAUCUCGUCUGACUGUCAGUGUGAUAUCGUCUGAGCUGGCUUCUCGUUGUGAAGGAGACGUGUCAUGGCCUACAGGCCUCCAGCCGUCCGUCCCGAGCUUCUGGGAGUCUGUCAGGAGCGCAUGCCGCUCUACAUUAACUGCAGUGAAGUCACAAACGUCUACAGCAACGGCAGCUACCAGCUCGUCUAUCAGAACUGCACUCCGCUCUUCGUACGGAGCAAACAGAUGCACAAGAGACAGAGACGAGGAGCGAGACGCCAGCGAGCGCAGACCCCCGUCACUGCUGACUCCGACACGGCCGUCUAUGUGGAGGUCCUGUGAGCUCAGACUGUGUGCAUCUUCACUGUGUGCUGUUACUCCUGCUUCAGCUCGCCUCCAGAAAUAAAGAAAUAAACUCUGUG
rnacentral:lncRNA from 1 species